rnacentral:rRNA from 1 species
CACGUAGGGGGCGAGCGUUGUCCGGAAUCAUUGGGCGUAAAGAGCGUGUAGGCGGCCAGACAAGUCCGUUGUGAAAACUAGAGGCUUAACCUCUAGACGUCGAUGGAAACUGUUUGGCUAGAGUCCGGAAGAGGAGAAUGGAAUUCCUGGUGUAGCGGUGAAAUGCGCAGAUAUCAGGAAGAACACCCGUGGCUAAGGCGGUUCUCUAGUACGGUACUGACGCUGAGACGCGAAAGCGUGGGGAGCGAACAGG